rnacentral:rRNA from 1 species
UAACUGGGCGUUAAGUUGCAGGGUAUAGACCCGAAACCCGGUGAUCUAGCCAUGGGCAGGUUGAAGGUUGGGUAACACUAACUGGAGGACCGAACCGACUAAUGUUGAAAAAUUAGCGGAUGACUUGUGGCUGGGGGUGAAAGGCCAAUCAAACCGGGAGAUAGCUGGUUCUCCCCGAAAGCUAUUUAGGUAGCGCCUCGUGAACUCAUCUUCGGGGGUAGAGCACUGUUUCGGCUAGGGGGGUCAUCCCGACUUACCAACCCGAUGCAAACUACGAAUACCGAAGAAUGUUAUCACGGGAGACACACGGCGGGUGCUAACGUCCGUCGUGAAGAGGGAAACAACCCAGACCGCCAGCUAAGGUCCCA